GUGCAUAGUUACAUAGGUUGUGAUCUCGCAUGAAUAACACUUAGAUAAGGAACCAAGGGAGCAAAACGAGUUCUUUAAAAUGACAUUACGACAUUGCCGUAUUGCUGUUGUUUUGUUUCUUAUUUCAUAUCUAGGUAUGUAUAUUUUUUUCAAAAACAUUUAACAAAUGAAGCCAAAUAUCAAUCGUUGAUAAUUAUUUGAUUUUUAAUUAAUAAAACAACUUUAAGUUUGAGAUAAUUUUUGGAAUGCACUAAGUUAACAAUUAUCGUAAAGUUAUGUUGUCAAGACUAAUCGGUAAUGAUGUUUGGUCAUAUCUAAUUUUGAAUCACAGUUCGAAUUGAAUUUAAAGAAUUAAACGAUUCGCUGUUUUCCUUUGCCACCAUCAUAUAUAAGACAUUUAUAAAUAACUAAAAUAGUGAAAGCACAAAAAGCUCGUGUAAAGAGCGAAUGUUCAACAUAUUCAUUUACAUGUAAAAUUGAUUUAUGUGGGUUUUUUUUGUGGAUACUGAGUUUGUUGGUCACUUUUUUAAUCCACUAUUGUCUUGUUUGUUUUGCCACGAUAUAUUAAUUUGAAUUGCGACAAUUGCAUCUGUUCAAUCUUUUGACGUAAGUAAAGGUUGCGCUUAUUUCUCUAUCGUGCUAUCUAUAAUAACCCCCACCGACGGUCUGUUUGAAUAAUUAAAGGUACUAGUAUGAUGUUAAAAUCAGCAUUCACGAUCUUCAAAUUAAGACUAACUGCUUCAAAUUUUUUGAAAAACAUUUAAAAUACAAGCAACAUAGUUGGAAUUUAUAUGGAAAGCGUAUUUUCUAUUAGGAAAUAUUUUUAAAGCGUAUUUUCUUUUUGGCAUAACUUUUAGGAAUUUUGGUCCUGAAUGCUCUUCAACCUCGUACUUUAUUUGGCCUUUUAAUCAGUUUUUGAUUCGAAAGUCUUUUGUAGACAAAACGCGCGUUUGGCGUAAAUAUAGAAUUUUGGUCCUGGUAUCUCUGAUGAGUUUAUUUGCAACCACUGAGUCUAAGGUCAGCUGAACCUUGCACACAUUAAAUCACUAUGCUUGGUCAAUAAUUAUAACAAAUUAUACGUCAAUUGAAUGUUCUCUGACUUAAUGCAGGAUAUGUAUUGACGGAGUGUCCAUUAGGAUGGCGGCAGUAUAACAGUUCAUGCUACGUUCUCAGUUCCAAAAGAUUAAGCUGGUAUAAUGCAGAGGUAAAUAAAUGUACAAACAAGAAUACUAGUCAUGAUUGUCCAUAAUUGAUAAAUUGUUUGAUUUGAAUAGACCACCAAUUUUAGCGCAAUUGGCUCUUAUGUGACAGUUUCCAUUGGUGAAUGAGCAGAGAAAAUCACCAAACGUCGGAAAGAAAACCGACAAUCCUAUUCGAUUCAUAUUGGAAUUGAGUUCACCUGUCUCGUGCACAACCAAUGUAGACAUGUUACUGAUGAAUAAAGUUGUACGUCAUAGACUUCUCAGAAACCAAAGCCCCUGAUUGUCCAUGAUACUACGUUCCAUCGCAUGACGUAGAGAUAAUUAACAAUAAGGUACCGUACGGUCUUAAACAAUGAUCGAAACCCAAAUUCGUAGCGUUAGAUAAAAAAAACCUCUGUGUGAACUUUGCAAUGCAAAUAUAUAAUCAUAACCGUUCAGUCAUACACAUUUAGCUAUGUUUGAAUUUAAAGAGAACAAAAUGAAACAUAAAACCGACAAAAACAGUAUUCAGCGAUCUUCUAUAUUAGUAUCAAAGAAAAUGAUAUAUUUUUGUUCGUUCUGAUGUUUACAGUUUACAAGCUAUUCUUAUGUCGAACUAUAACAUAACAAAUGUAUCCUGUUCACAUUAUUUGUGAACCUGCAUUCCAGGGUUGUUGUGUGUCGAUGUGUACUGGUAUAUUGCCUGUUGUCUUUGUCAUAAACGAGACUGCUGGUGUGUUUUGGUUGAAUUGUUUUCAUUUUGUCAUGCCGGGUCUUUUUAUAGCUUGCUGUACGGUAUGUCUUUGGUCAUUGCUAAAGGCGGUAUUGUUGCCUAGUAUUGUUCAACAUAAUGUAGUUUGGAUUCUGCUGGACUGUUGUCCUGCAGAAAGUUUGGAAAAAUAUUUUUUGCAAACAAGGUUUUGAACUGACAAUCUAUAAAUAUAUAUACAUAACGAUACAAACAAUUGCUAGUGCCGACAAAUGACUGGGUCCGUGUGAAAAACUAUAGAUGGCGGGGUAUAAAUAAACUACAUUUAAAACACUGUUUUAAUCAUACUUAUAGCUAUAUUUUGGAAUGUUAACUAUCACACUAGACUUCUAUCAAAGUUUAAAAAAGCUAAUACUAUCGACUACUUAAUGUUGCUGGUAGAUGUUAGGAAUUGAAAUAAAGGAAAUACUAGAGCAAGGAUAAUAAAGCGAAAAUGAAAACAGUUAAUGUAAACAUUUGUUGUAGAGUUACUGUCAAGAACAUGGUGCCCGGCUUAUUGAAAUUGAAACUAAAGAGCAACAAGACUCCUUGACAGAUUUGGCAAAACGUUUUUAUAGCAUCAGUAUUAUACAUAUCGUAACUGCCACUGUUACACAUAAUUCAAAAGGAGUAAAGUUUAUCUGCCACACGCAUUUAUCUUUCUAAAAUUUCAACGAAAGGUACGAACGAACGAACGUUAAUGAAGACUACAUUGAACUCCCAUAAUAACACUGAGAGUUUAUGUUUUAUUUGGUAAAACGGCUAGCUUUGUCAGAAUGCAAAGUUUCUUUAGAAAUUGAAACAUAUAUCUCAUUAACUGAUUUUUUAAAUAUCUGAAGAAAAAAAAACGUACAUUCAAAUGUAUACGUUCCUUGUUUUGCAAGGCGACACACAUUUGUUUGAUGAUGUAUUACGUACAUGUAUAUACUAGUAGCAUUUUGGUUGUUGUGGAAAAAGGUGAAGUUGUUUUCAUAAUUUGUAUGUCUUAUCAUUUACCAUUAUUUAAAUUCGAUUGGUCAAAAUCCUUAGAAUCAUAGAUUUCUGCAAUACGAGCGACACAUAGUUAAAAAGGUGAUGGCUCUUUUUUCCUUGUUCAGUAUUGAUGUUGUAGAUACUGAAUUUCAAUUUCAAUUUAGAAUAUAAUUUUUGGCUCGGUGGAAAAGAUGAGAUUAGUGAAAACAGAUGGAUAUGGUCAUCAACAAAUCACUCAAUAAUGUAUAAAAACUGGGGCAUAGGUGAACCAAAUGGUGGAAAAGGAGAGAACUGCCUCGCUAUGUACGGAUUUUGGACAUACACGUGGUAUGACAUGGGAUGUUCAUAUUUACUACAGUUUGUCUGUGAGAAAAGGUAUGAUUGUUUUUUCAAUUGACUCAAUUCUAUGCAUUAUCUAGAAUUAAAACAUAAACUGGAUUAAUGGAAAAGGUUAAAGAAAAUAUAAACAUAAACAAGAAAAGAUGUCAACCAAAAACAGGUAUCUGCAGGACGUUUGUUAGAUACCAGGACGCUUUUUAAACUAGGUGAUGCAAUAAUUGACAAUUAUUGGUAGAUUUAACAUUAAAUGUAUGUUGAUAAAAAUAUAUUGGUUAUACUUUAAGCAUGUUAUAGCGAAUCUGAAGUAAAAUAGAAUACUAUAUAGAAAAAAAAUAAGGCCAUAUUUGACAUCUAAAACACAAAUGAUUUUGGACUGCUUUCAAUAUAAAAAUAAUUAAAAGCAAAUAUGAAGACGUUAUCAUUUCUAUUUCAGUUACCAAGAUGGGGAAGAAAUCAUUGGCUAAGUUUAGAAAGUAAAUAAAAAGAUAUCGC
rnacentral:lncRNA from 1 species